rnacentral:rRNA from 1 species
CGAACGGGUGAGUAACACGUGGGUUACCUGCCCCGAUGAUUGGGACAACCCGAGGAAACUCGGGCUAAUACCAAAUGUGCUCCUGGCCGUAAUGGCCUUGAGGAAAGGAAGCUUCGGCCUCCGCAUCGGGAUGGGCCCGCGGCCCAUUAGCUAGUUGGUGGGGUAAAGGCCUACCAAGGCGACGAUGGGUAGCUGGUCUGAGAGGACGAUCAGCCACACUGGGACUGAGACACGGCCCAG